GACGAACGCUGGCGGCGUGCUUAACACAUGCAAGUCGAACGGAAAGGCCUGCUUUCCCUUGUGGAUUGCGGGUACUCGAGUGGCGAACGGGUGAGUAACACGUGAGUGAUCUGCCCCCAACUUGGGUAUAAGCCUGGGAAACUGGGUCUAAUUCCCGAUAGGACUGCAGGGUAGUGCCUGUGGUGGAAAACGAUUUUCUAGUGGUUGGGGAUGAGCUCGCGGCCUAUCAGCUUGUUGGUGGGGUAAUGGCCUACCAAGGCGGCGACGGGUAGCCGGCCUGGGAGGGUGGACGGCCACAUUGGGACUGGGAUACGGCCCAGACUCCUACGGGAGGCAGCAGUGGGGAAUAUUGCACAAUGGGCGGAAGCCUGAUGCAGCGACGCCGCGUGGGGGAUGACGGCCUUCGGGUUGUAAACUCCUUUCGACCGCGAGGAAGCCACCUGGUUGGAAGGGUGGUGACGGUAGUGGUAGAAGAAGCACCGGCUAACUACGUG
rnacentral:rRNA from 1 species